GACAGAGGGUGCAAACGUUGUUCGGAUUUACUGGGCGUAAAGCGCGUGUAGGCGGCUUUGCAAGUCGGAUGUGAAAGCCCACGGCUCAACCGUGGAAGUGCAUCCGAAACUGCAUGGCUUGAGUCUCGGAGAGGAAGGUGGAAUGCUUGGUGUAGAGGUGAAAUUCGUAGAUAUCAAGCAGAACACCUGCGGCGAAGGCGGCCUUCUGGACGAUGACUGCGCUGAGACGCGAAAACGUGGGGGAG
rnacentral:rRNA from 1 species